rnacentral:rRNA from 1 species
GAUAAACGCUGGCGGCGCACAUAAGACAUGCAAGUCGAACGGACUUAACUCAUUCUUUACUAUUGGAGCGGUUAGUGGCGGACUGGUGAGUAACACGUAAGCAACCUGCCUAUCAGAGGGAACAACAGUUAGAAAUGACUGCUAAUACCGCAUAUGCCUUGAGUAACACAUGUUACAAAGGGAAAGGAGUAAUCCGCUGAUAGAUGGGCUUGCGUCUGAUUAGAUAGUUGGUAGGGUAACGGCCUACCAAGUCAACGAUCAGUAGCCGGACUGAGAGGUUGAACGGCCACAUUGGGACUGAGAUACGGCCCAGACUCCUACGGGAGGCAGCAGUCGGGAAUAUUGCGCAAUGGAGGAAACUCUGACGCAGUGACGCCGCGUGCAGGAAGAAGGUUUUCGGAUUGUAAACUGCUUUAGACAGGGAAGAAAUAAGACAGUACCUGUAGAAUAAGCUCCGGCUAACUACGUG